UACGGAGGGUGCAAGCGUUAUCCGGAUUCACUGGGUUUAAAGGGUGCGUAGGUGGGUUUGUAAGUCAGUGGUGAAAUCUCCGAGCUUAACUCGGAAACUGCCAUUGAUACUAUAGAUCUUGAAUCAUCUGGAGGUAAGCGGAAUAUGUCAUGUAGCGGUGAAAUGCUUAGAUAUGACAUAGAACACCAAUUGCGAAGGCAGCUGGCUACACGCCUAUUGACACUGAUGCACGAAAGCGUGGGGAUCAAACAGG
rnacentral:rRNA from 1 species